rnacentral:rRNA from 1 species
GACGAACGCUGGCGGCGUGCUUAACACAUGCAAGUCGAACGAGGCCCUGCCUUCGGGCAGGUGAUCUAGUGGCGAACGGGUGAGUAACACGUGGGCAACCUACCCUCAGCUCUGGGAUAACCCCGGGAAACCGGAGCUAAUACCGGAUACGACCAGGAACGACAUCGUGCCUGGUGGAAAGUUUUUACGGCUGAGGAUGGGCCCGCGGCCUAUCAGCUUGUUGGUGGGGUAAUGGCCUACCAAGGCGACGACGGGUAGCCGGCCUGAGAGGGCGAACGGCCACACUGGGACUGAGACACGGCCCAGACUCCUACGGGAGGCAGCAGGUGGGGAAUAUUGCGCAAUGGGCGAAAGCCUGACGCAG